GAUGAAGAACGUAGCGAAAUGCGAUAAGUAAUGCGAAUUGCAGAAUUUCCGUGAGUCAUCGAAUCUUUGAACGCACAUUGCGCCCAUUGGUAUUCCGAUGGGCAUGCCUGUUCGAGCGUCAUUAUCUUCCCUCAAACCUCGCGUUUGGUGUUGGGCCGUGCUGGUUCCUGCGUGACCAACUGGCCUCAAAGACAAUGACGGCGUCCGUGGGACCCUCGAUGCAACGAGCUUCUCAGGAGCACGCGUCGAGUUUCAAGGACCUUCCGGGCCGGUCGCUCCUCAUGUUAUUACAAGGUUGACCUCGGAUCAGGUAGGGAUACCCGCUGAACUUAAGCAUAUCAAUAAGCGGAGGA
rnacentral:misc_RNA from 1 species